rnacentral:rRNA from 1 species
ACGGAAGGCAGCAGUGGGGAAUAUUGCACAAUGGGGGAAACCCUGAUGCAGCGACGCCGCGUGAGUGAUGAAGUAUUUCGGUAUGUAAAGCUCUAUCAGCAGGGAAGAUAAUGACGGUUCCUGACUAAGAAGCACCGGCUAAUUCCGUGCCAGCAGCCGCGGUAAUACGGAAGGUCCGAGCGUUAUCCGGAUUUAUUGGGUUUAAAGGGAGCGCAGGCGGAGAUGUAAGCCAGCCGUUAAAUCGUGGGGCUCAACCCCAUGCUGCGGUUGGAACUGCAUCCCUUGAGUGCACGAGAGGAUGGUGGAAUUCGUGGUGUAGCGGUGAAAUGCAUAGAUAUCACGAAGAACUCCGAUUGCGAAGGCAGCCAUCUGGCGUGUUACUGACGCUCAUGCUCGAAGGUGCGGGUAUCAAACAGGAUUAGAUACCCUGGUA